rnacentral:rRNA from 1 species
GCGAAUGGCUCAUUAAAUCAGCUAUGGUUUAUUGGAUCGUACCCGUUAAAUGGAUAACUGUAAUAACUCUAGAGCUAAUACAUGCCUUGAUGCCCUGACCCGCUUGCGGGAAUGGGUGCACUUAUUAGAUCAGAAGCCAACCGUGUAUGCCGCAAGGUGUGCGCGUUGUCCUUCUGGUGACUCUGGAUAAUUGUUACAGAUCGCAGUCGGCCUUGAGUCGGCGACGGGUCCUUCAAAUGUCUGCCCUAUCAACUGUCGAUGGUAGGUGACCUGCCUACCAUGGUGAUAACGGGUAACGGGGAAUCAGGGUUCGAUUCCGGAGAGGGAGCCUGAGAAACGGCUACCACUUCCAAGGGAGGCAGCAGGCGCGCAAAUUACCCACUCCCAGUACGGGGAGGUGGUGACGAAAAAUACCGAUGCGGGACUCGAUUAUGAGGCUCCGUAAUCGGAAUGAGUGAACUCUAAAUCCUUUCACGAGGAUCAAUUGGAGGGCAAGUCUGGUGCCAGCAGCCGCGGUAACUCCAGCUCCAAUAGCGUAUAUUAAAGUUGCUGCAGUUAAAAAGCUCGUAGUUGGAUCUCGGUAUCACUGGGGCCUGCCCACGCGACCGUCGCAAUGGCGGCUUCGGCUGACCUAGGCGUCGGGAGCAGGGGUUUGGCAUCCGGUGUCACCUUUCAGCCAUGUCUGUGGUGAAAUACCCGCAGGUGUAGGCGAGUGUCAGGCGGUGCCUUGCGACAGUGAGGCCCGUCGGCUCGUUUGCAUGCCUUUGGAUGCCCUUCAAAAGGUGUCCGUAGGCGGAUGGCACGUUUACUUUGAACAAAUUUGAGUGCUCAAACCAGGCCGAUGUUGCCUGAAAAGUUUUGCAUGGAAUAAUGGAAUAGGACUUCGGUUCUAUUUCGUUGGUUUUCGGAUCCGAAGUAAUGAUCAAAAGAGACAGGCGGGGACGUUUGUAUGGCUGCGCUAGAGGUGAAAUUCAUGGACCGUAGCCAGACAAACUAAAGCGAAAGCAUUCGUCAAGCAUGUUUUCAUUGGCCAUGAGCGAAAGUCAGAGGCUCGAAGACGAUCAGAUACCGUCCUAGUUCUGACCAUAAACGAUGCCAACUGACGAUCCGUGGUGGUAGUAAUUCAACCUUCCCCACGGGCAGUCCCCGGGAAACCAUUAAGUCUUUGGGUUCCGGGGGAAGUAUGGUUGCAAAGCUGAAACUUAAAGGAAUUGACGGAAGGGCACCACCAGGAGUGGAGCCUGCGGCUUAAUUUGACUCAACACGGGAAAACUCACCCGGCCCGGACACUGUGAGGAUUGACAGAUUGAUAGCUCUUUCUUGAUUCAGUGGUUGGUGGUGCAUGGCCGUUCUUAGUUGGUGGAGCGAUUUGUCUGGUUAAUUCCGAUAACGAACGAGACUCCAGCCUGCUAAUUAGUGUGCUCGUCCACUGUUCCUGUGUUGGCGGCGUUUGACAAGGCUGCAUCUCCAUGCUGGUGCUGUGGGUGGCGCAAGCUGCUUGCGGUGUUGGCUGGGUUGCGGCUGGCUCUGCGUUAGCCUCCGGGUACGGCGCGAGUACCUACUUCUUAGAGGGACAAGCGGGAAAAGCCGCACGAAAUUGAGCAAUAACAGGUCUGUGAUGCCCUUAGAUGUCCGGGGCCGCACGCGCGCUACAAUGACGGUGCCAACGAGUCUGACCUUCUGGCCCGAAAGGGUUGGGCAAACUGGUCAAUCACCGUCAUGACAGGGAUCGGGGCUUGGAAUUGUUCCCCGUGAACGAGGAAUUCCUAGUAAGUGCAAGUCAUAAGCUUGCGCUGAUUACGUCCCUGCCCUUUGUACACACCGCCCGUCGCUACUACCGAUUGAAUGGUUUAGUAAGGUCCUUGGAUUGGCGCCAUUGUGGUGGUCCGCCGAAAGGUGGCCAUCCAACGUGUGCUGAGAAGACGACCAAACUUGAUCAUUUAGAGGAAGUAAAAGUCGUAACAAG